ensembl:lncRNA
AGCUAACGUGUGAAGGAGCUAACGUGUGAAGGAGCUAACGUGUGAAGGAGCUAACGUGUGAAGGAGCUAGCGUCUGGAGGAGCUAACGUGUGGAGGAGCUAACGUGUGUGAAGUCAACAGCUGGUGGAAGCACAUGUGUGCAGUCAAUUCACCCUGGACAACAUAUAUGACUAUAUUACUGUGUGACAGGCAGGGAAUAGGAAAGGGUGAUGGAAGCUCUGGAGUGACAGUAGGCCUAUCUGGGAGGACAUAAUGAAUGCUCCUCUCGGUGUGAAUGGAAGCUCUGAAAUGACAGUAGGCCUAUCUGAGAAGACAUAAUGAAUGCUCCUCUCGGUGUGAAUGUGACAUGCUGAAAUCACAGCAUCUAAAAGGUGGCCUGAAAUGACAGUCUAAUAAUAAAAUCCUUAUGGACUCGCGAGAGAUGUCUAUAAGAUUAAAUCGCGUCUUCAACGAAGGAUUUUGAGGAGUUCUCCUCCACCCCUCCUCCCCCACCUCCACCUCCU